rnacentral:rRNA from 1 species
UACGUAGGCAGCAAGCGUUGUUCGGAAUUACUGGGCGUAACGAGUGUGUAGGCGGUGCUCUAAGUCUGUUGUGAAAUCUCCCGGCUUAACCGGGAGGGUGCGGCGGAAACUGGAGUGCUUGAGGGUGGGAGAGGUAAGCGGAAUUCCUGGUGUAGCGGUGAAAUGCGUAGAUAUCAGGAGGAACACCUGUGGUGUAGACAGCUUACUGGACCACUUCUGACGCUGAGACACGAAAGCGUGGGUAGCAAACAGG